rnacentral:rRNA from 1 species
GCAACAGCUCAAAUUUGAAAGCUAGCCUUCGGGUUCGCAUUGUAAUUUGUAGAGGAUGAUUUGGGGAAGCCGCCUGUCUAAGUUCCUUGGAACAGGACGUCAUAGAGGGUGAGAAUCCCGUAUGUGACAGGAAAUGGCACCCUAUGUAAAUCUCCUUCGACGAGUCGAGUUGUUUGGGAAUGCAGCUCUAAAUGGGAGGUAAAUUUCUUCUAAAGCUAAAUAUUGGCGAGAGACCGAUAGCGCACAAGUAGAGUGAUCGAAAGAUGAAAAGCACUUUGGAAAGAGAGUUAAAAAGCACGUGAAAUUGUUGAAAGGGAAGCGCUUGCAAUCAGACUUGUUUAAACUGUUCGGCCGGUCUUCUGACCGGUUUACUCAGUUCUGGACAGGCCAGCAUCAGUUUCGGCGGCCGGAUAAAGGCUCUGGGAAUGUGGCCUCCACUUCGGUGGAAGUGUUAUAGCCCAGGGUGUAAUACGGCCAGCCGGGACUGAGGUCCGCGCUUCGGCUAGGAUGCUGGCGUAAUGGUUGUAAGCGACCCGUCUU